UAAAUGAAUAUUUGCCUUUGACAAAAACUCUACAAGCUAACUGCUGCGUAUUUUUUUUUUUUUUUUUUUUUCAGGGGAAGAAAUCUUUGUACCGUGCUACCACCUCUUAUUGAGGAAACCGUUACUCGGAGGGUAGGGAGAAGAAUACACAGUAGAAGAGAUACCAGCUAUCUUAGAAUAGCGACAGAAUCAUAUUGUAGUUCUCGGUUUUGCAAUACAAAACUUGCACGCUCUUGUAAAAUGGAUUCAAGUUCCUUUCAGAAGGUUGCAGGAAUUUUUGACUUAGAGAUAGGAGUUGAAAAAGAAUUUAUAGUACAGUUAUAGAAUGUUCUGGAUGUAUUUAAAGCGAAUUGGAAUGGAUGACGAGGCUGACGUCUUCUUGGAAGCUCCGCCUUUCCAGAGGCUAUAAAAAGACUCGCAAAGGAAUAUCGGGGGCUUUUUCUUAAAUGUCACGAUGCAGUAAACUUCAUACAAAAAGUUAUUAGUAAUUCUU